UAUGCUGGGGCUGAUUGAAUUUAAGUCUGCCGCUCUGCACUUUACCUGGCGCUGUAGCCUAUUAACGUAGAGGGCGAGGGAAUAAAAGGGGGCCGUGUCCCUCUCUUGUCCUCUCACUUCCUGGCUCGAAGGCCCUCCCGCUUCCCGGCCUUCCGCUUCCUCCUUUGUACUCGAGACGGGUAGGUGCACGGCUGCAUUGUUUGCAAGUUGUUUCUUUUAGCUCUUAUUAGCCUCUGCAUUGAACUGUUUAACUUUGUGCGUAGUGGUCCAUUGUGGUUAAGGGGAUGGUGGCGAUUCUCCCUGUUUGCCAAAGACAUUAAAAGGACAAGCUGAUCCCGAACGCAUCACGCACCACAGACGCUCCAGUGAAGUACGGAGCGGUGCCGAGGCUCCUCGUCACUGUCCUCCUCGGAAGGGUUCCUGUUGUUCGGGACCCGUGGCUAACGGUGGAUAUAAAUUGCUGCGAGCCGACGGUGGUGGCGGUGUCCUGGGUGGUGGUUCCUCUUUGUGUGCUGUGAUUCUGGAUUUGGUUGCUUUGCACUUCACCUUUGUGUGUGUCACGUGAGCGUGGGGUGCCUUUUCUUGUUUUGGACUCCUUCCCCCCACAUUGUCCCUCACCGUUGGUGAGCCUCAGCUAUUGGAGCAGGGUGUUAAUUAUUAGUUCGGUCGUGAACUACCCUUUUUAACUUGUGAGACCAACUUCCAAUAAACGUGUUCAUUAUUUUUGCUACCGUGAACCACGUCUCCUGCCCUUCCUUGUAUUACUUACCUGUGUGCCUUCCUUUAUAGUUAUAUUUAUUUACAAUUCCCUGGGUGCAAUUCCCAGGGUGGCGUUGUUGGUUUCUUUGUCCUAAAUUUAAUAAUCGUAGUAUAACAUUCUGAGCCCUCGCAUCGCCACAACUUGGCGUUGUUGGC